rnacentral:rRNA from 1 species
CAGUAGCCGCGGUAAUACGUAGGGUGCAAGCGUUAAUCGGAAUUACUGGGCGUAAAGCGUGCGCAGGCGGUUUUGUAAGACAGAGGUGAAAUCCCCGGGCUCAACCUGGGAACUGCCUUUGUGACUGCAAGGCUAGAGUACGGCAGAGGGGGAUGGAAUUCCGCGUGUAGCAGUGAAAUGCGUAGAUAUGCGGAGGAACACCGAUGGCGAAGGCAAUCCCCUGGGCCUGUACUGACGCUCAUGCACGAAAGCGUGGGGAGCAAACAGGAUUAGAUACCCCUGUAGUCCCUGUCUCUUUACA